rnacentral:rRNA from 1 species
GGAUUAGAUACCCUGGUAGUCCUAGCCGUAAACGAUGGAUACUAGGUGUAGUCCGUAUCGACCCGGACUGUGCCGUAGCUAACGCGUUAAGUAUCCCGCCUGGGGAGUACGCACGCAAGUGUGAAACUCAAAGGAAUUGACGGGGGCCCGCACAAGCGGUGGAGUAUGUGGUUUAAUUCGAUGCAACGCGAAGAACCUUACCAGGGCUUGACAUCCCGCGAAUCCUUCUGAAAGGAGGGAGUGCCUUCGGGAGCGCGGAGACAGGUGGUGCAUGGCUGUCGUCAGCUCGUGCCG